UCACAACGACCCUGUUUAGUUUAGCUCUUGUAGUUGGAUUCCGCUGCUGGAAAGCUGAAUCAUAACCAAAGGGCAAAACUAUCGGCUGGAUUACAUCGAAGCGCAGCCAAAAAUAUGCCUACGAGAGAAAUCAACCACGGAGGUGCUUUCCUGGCUUCAACUGCGUGGCUCUUCUAACAUACCCGUAAAGUUCGGCUGAAAUUACCCACCUUUGCCAUAUAAUCGAUCCACAUGACCAGGCCCGAUUCACCCUGCUCGACAGAACUCACCCUCGUCACCUCCUUCUCUAGUGAUUAGGGUUCCCCACGCCGCCGCCAGGUGCUCGUCGUCCCGGUCGAUGCGCCACCGGCGCCUCCGCCUCCGCCCCCGCCCCCAUCCGCUGUCGUGAUCCCUCGCGCCAUGGAUCUCGCACCCCUCCUCGCGUCGGUCGCCGACCUCCUCAUGUCAUCGAUCUCGCAUCCCCCGUGCUCUUGUUCUCUUAGGCAGGUGAGCCCCAUGAUCCCCGUCGAGCCCUGCCUCCCUUCUCCUCUUUACUGCUGGUCAUGCUCGGCUGCUAUUGGUGGACUGGUGGUCAUGUUCUCUUAUUUGGCAGAAAAAUGUGCAUUAACAAGUGUUUGGUAAUUAUCUUAUUUUCUUGAAACCAUUGUUGUGAAUUUAGAUGGAAAAGGAAAAGGAAAAUUGGGAUGCACAUCACAUAACUGUUUUUUGUGAUAUAUGCAAAGAAGAGGUGGAGAAAGGUAAUAGGCCAAAGGGAUGUUUGAACCGUAGAGGGUACAAACAUGUUGAAGUGAAGUUCUUUGACAGGGUUGGGAAAAGAUGUACUCAAAUUAAGUUCAAAAACAAAUGGGACAUGUUGAAGAGGCAAUAUAUACAGUUCAUGGUAUUGAAAAAUCACGCAACGGGGCUAGGUUGAGAUGAUGUGAAGAAAACUAUCGCAGCCAAAGAUGAUUGGUGGAAUGUUCAUCUUAAGAAAUAUCCUAAGCAUGCAAAGUAUAUAAAAAAGGGGUGGCCAACUUGGAAUCAAUGCAUGUCAUGUUCGCCAAGGCACAUGUCACCGGAGAAACAUCAUCUAUUCCUGGGAAGAUGUCGGACAUAGCAAAUGAUGAUGAUAUGCUUGAUGCUGGAGCGGAGUCCGAGGAUGAUGCAAAGGCGGGAAAGGAGGUUAGAGUUUCACAAAAUGAGUGCAAGUUAGCAAAGGAGGACAAGGUCUCUCCAAAAAACGUGAAGCGCAAAGCCAAGUUCAUGUUCAUUGACGAGUCAGCUAAAGAGGACAAGAACCCAUUUCUACGUGAGUACAUGGCAACAAUUGGGAAUAUAAACUCGGAGAUAGCAUAAACUCAUGCUCCAACAAGUGGUGUUCCUACUAUGAAGGAAGUUCUGACUUUGAUGAAGGAGUGUGGGGCUGAGGAGGGAACUCCUUUAUAUUUCACAGCCACCGACCUUGUCCUCCAACCCAACUAUAGAGAGUUAUUCAUGUUGAUUGAAACAAAAUAGGGGAGGCUUGAUUGUCUCAAUAGGAAACAUGAACAAAUGAACAAAUAGUACUCCACUACCUUGUCCUCCAAACAAACCAUGUUUGAACUAUUUGUAUGAACACGUGUCUUUAUGAUGUAAUGAAACAUAUCUAUGUUAUUGCUGCCACGUUUAUGUGAA